rnacentral:rRNA from 1 species
GACGAACGCUGGCGGCGUGCCUAAUACAUGCAAGUCGAACGCAGUGGGGACGGGUGAGUAACACGUGGGUAACCUCCCAUCAGAGGGGAUAACACUUGGAAACAGGUGCUAAACCGAUACUGAUGGAUGGACCCGCGGUGCAUUAGCUAGUUGGUGAGGUAACGGCUCACCAAGGCCACGAUGCAUAGCCGAACUUGGAGGGUGAUGAGGCAAAUAGGGACUUGGAAAAGGCCAAGAAUCCUACGGGAGGGAGCAGUAGGGAAACUUCGGGAAAGGACGAAAGUUUGACAGGGGAACGGCGCGGUAGUGAAAGAGGGUUUCGGAUCGUAAAACCUUGUUGUUAGAGAAGAGGUAUUGAAACAGAAAGCCACGGCUAAAUACCUGCCAGCAGCCGCGGUAAUUC